UAUGCAAGUAUUUUUCGUCCUCUAAAAAUAGCCUAGCAUCUUUCGACUUUUGCUUCGGAUGUAUAAGAGAAGUUGACUCGGUAUAACCUGCUGUUAAAAUCGUAUUCAGUAUUAAAGAAAAAUACUGAAUUAAACUAGAUGGUUUAUACUAAAAAUACAGCUUGUAAUUACUAUCAUAAAAUCACACUCUCUUCAGUUGGUUCCUUUGUUUUAUUAUAGCUCGUGUAAUCUUUAUGCAACAGCCAUACAAAAAUUUUGCAAAACAUCAAACGAAGAAAGGAUUAAUUUGAGAAAUUGAAGCGAGAUAACGAAGUAAUGUGACUAGGUCAUGAGUAAGGACGCUAUAAGAAUUUAAGUGAGCAUUUUCAUGAGAAUGACUUAAGCACAAUAUCUACAUAUCUAAAAACUUUUUUUUUGACAUAGAGAAAAAGGUUACAUCAUUAAUUUGAAGCUCACAAAAUAAUAUUUUAAAGAUCUAUCAACAAUUAUGCAACACCACCUUGCAUGCUUUUUCCCUUCGACUUUAUCUUGACAUUGGUGCGAUCCCGUUUAGGAAUCCAGCGUUGAGGGUCUGGAGUAGCCUUAGGAUUGAAGCUUUUAGGGGUGGGUUUUCUUCUCUUCCGAGUCUUUUUACUAGAAUUUGACGAAUUCGCUUCUACAGAACGCUUAAUAGGCCCUAUAGCUGCCGAAACAGGAACACCUCUAAUUUCAAUGUCGUCCACGUCAAUUCCUGUAAUUAAAUCUUUAGUGGGUACAAGGUAUUUAUCCAUACCAGAUUCAAUUUCCUUAUCCAGAUAGCAAAGAGCAGCAACUUUACAAGAAACUAAUUCGCUUAUUGGGCCCUUCCAUUGAAGUAAAUCAUCAAUUACACUCAUAUCAUCUUGAAUAGUACUCACUGGAGCUCUUUCAUCAAGGUGAGCUAGAAGAGACCGAGUACAAAGAAGAAGUUUAGCUUCACACGACUGUUGCUUUCUCCAGUAGUUAGCAGCCUCAUGUAGUAAUUGGGAUUUAAAACCUGUUGAUUGAAUCUUAUAGUGUAAUGCAUCGCCUAAUCCAACCAAGCCCGGAGAAUAUAAAACCGAUAAACUUUGAGACGCUUCCAAACUUGUGCGGAGCUUUUGAUAGAUA